CUGGCUGUUCCUCUGCCCGGAACGAAAAUAAAACAAACAUUCAGAUGAAAUGGAGCAUUAAAGGAAGAUCAGGCCGGUCUUAAUGUGCCAUUAGGAACGAUCAGGGCGAGACUCGGGCUGACUCUGCUGUUAUUCCUUCCUUUGCAGGUGGCCUUUCCUCGCCCUUGGAAGCCGGGUUGGGGGCAGGGGACCAUCCCCGCGUCCUCCGUGGGGACAGAGCUCCAGGCUCAGCUUGCCACGGAAGGACCAAGCUCCUGAGCAGGGCCCGGCACCCCGGGGAAGCAGCCAGAAACAGCAACAGUUUUGAUGGCACCAAAUUAGCGACAAAAUGUUCCUUCCGAACAGGCGGUUUAUAACUGGAGACGAGUUCUCUCCUCCUUCAGCAUGGCUUAUCUCCAUGAAAUUAGUAAUUGGCAUUUCUCUCUGAAGCCGGGUAAGCGCCAGCAGCCGGUAACACCCACGCCACACUCCGUUCUCGCCCAGAGGCCCCGCAGCCAAAGCAGAGGCUAAUAAAAAUAAUAACAAGGAAUUAAAAAAAAAAAAAAAAAAAAGGCAGAAAGUGCUGAAAUCAGAUUUUA